UAGGGAAUCUUCCGCAAUGGACGCAAGUCUGAAGGAGCAACGCCGCGUGAGUGAAGAAGGAUUUCGGUUCGUAAAACUCUGUUGUUAGAGAAGAACAAAUGUGUAAGUAACUAUGCACGUCUUGACGGUACCUAAUCAGAAAGCCACGGCUAACUACGUGCCAGCAGCCGCGGUAAUACGUAGGUGGCAAGCGUUAUCCGGAAUUAUUGGGCGUAAAGCGCGCGUAGGCGGUUUUUUAAGUCUGAUGUGAAAGCCCACGGCUCAACCGUGGAGGGUCAUUGGAAACUGGAAAACUUGAGUGCAGAAGAGGAAAGUGGAAUUCCAUGUGUAGCGGUGAAAUGCGCAGAGAUAUGGAGGAACACCAGUGGCGAAGGCGACUUUCUGGUCUGUGACUGACGCUGAUGUGCGAAAGCGUGGGGAUCAAACAGG
rnacentral:rRNA from 1 species